CAGAGAAUAGUUUAUUAAAAUAUUAAUUUUGGAGAUUAAUGAUAAGAUUUGUCUUUUCUCUGA
rnacentral:tRNA from 2 species